AUUGAACGCUGGCGGCAUGCUUUACACAUGCAAGUCGAACGGCAGCGCGGGCUUCGGCCUGGCGGCGAGUGGCGAACGGGUGAGUAAUUCAUCGGAACGUGCCCAGUAGUGGGGGAGAGCCCGGCGAAAGCCGGAUUAAUACCGCAUACGACCUGAGGGUGAAAGCGGGGGACCGAGAGGCCACGCGCCAUUGGGGCGGCCGAUGGUGGAUUAGCUAGUUGGUGGGGUAAAGGCUUACCAAGGCGACGAUCCGUAGCUGGUCUGAGAGGACGACCAGCCACAACGGGACUGAGACACGGCCCAAACCCCUACGGGAGGCAGCAGUAGGGAAUUUUCGGCAAUGGGCGAAAGUCCGACCGCGCCACGCCGCGUGGGGGAAGAAGGUCUUCGGAUUGGAAAACUCUUUUGGUAGGGAAGAACGUUGGUGGGAGUAAAAACCGGAGCAAGUGACGGUAACGAAACAGAAAGGGCCGGCUAACUACGUG
rnacentral:rRNA from 1 species